rnacentral:ncRNA from 12 species
AUUCGCUGAGGGCGGAACAGGCAGCCGCCGCACCUUUAUGGUCUUAAAGAGAUGCAGAUUGUCACCUGCCAGCGGAA